CGCCCGGGGGACGCCUCCCCGGAACCUGCUGCUCCGCCCGUUCGCGACCCUCCCCGGCCCGGUCCGCGCCGCGCUCCGCCAGCCUCCGGGGGUCGUUCCCCCAGCGGGCCCUUCUUGCCCAGCCUGGGGACGCCCGGGGUUCUCGCCCUCCGAUCUGAGCUGCCCACACGCCAGUGCCCCUCGCGCCGUAGAUUUGCGUUUUAGAAAGAUCGUUCGGGCUCCUGCGAAGAGGAGGGGCUGUAGGGGGCUGACACCGGAGACGAGGACAGAAGUUCUGAGGCUACCGCAAUGGCCCGGGUGCCUGCUGGACAGGGCCCAGGAGAGAAGUAGCCGGGAACCACAGACCGUGGAGUCCUGAGAAUGUAGUGGAAGCUGCCGCCUUGAGGACGGUAAGAUUAUCCAGCCAACCUGCCCCACCUCUGAACUGAUUGAGACAGAUGUCAAGGCCGGAAUUCGACAAAGCCCUUUCUCUCUCUAGCAGUAUAUUUGGGCAGCAUGUGGUCUGGUAUACCCUGCAGGCUUCACCAAUUCCUUUUGCUAUUGCAUUCCCGCCUGUGCAAUCAGUAUGUUCAACAUGUUCAUCCAAGCGUUGCACUUGGAUGAAUUGGACGGACCUACAGUUGCUCUUUAAAGUGAUCACCUAUAUAUAUGCGUAUUCGUUCCAGUAUUGAGUGACUUCUAUGUUUUGGGUCUCAUAAUUUCUCCUUUGGAUUACUCUAAUAACCUUUCUCACACUUAUUGCUUGAUUCCUUAAAACUCAUGGUCGGUGGGAUUAGGGAUAACUUGCUAACUUUUCAUUUUUCUUCACGGGUGUAAUUAAAACUACGAAAAAUA